rnacentral:lncRNA from 1 species
GUGGUCCUGGUCCCGGUUGGAGUCCUUUGAGGGCUUCUUGACCUUGACAUCAUGCUCAGGGUCACGGUACUGCGCCCAUCUGCUCUCUCCCCGCUUCUCCGAGGCCCUUUCUCUGCCCACUUCAGCUCUGCUUGCUUCACCAUACUCGGGUACCUCCAACAGCAGCCCAUCUUUCCUGCUCUUUUUAUGUACCUAUCCAAUCACUCAUAAAACGUUCUCUCUUAUUGUUUGCACAUCUAUAUAUCUAUAUAAUUCACUCCAAAACUUAACUCUUCAUGGGGAAAUGUUAUGUUACCUUGGGCUGAAUCUUCUUCCCAAACACAGAACGCACUUUCUGCCUUCUGCCAUUUCUCCCAUCCCAAUACAUACGCAUUGCCUACAGUACACCCUUCCACAAACCUGCAUAUAUAUGCUAGCUAGUGGUAAUCUUGAAUUGUUCAAAAACAGAGAUAUGCAGCGUAUAUAUUUUUGAAAUUGGUUUCUAAACUAGAAAUUAAAGUUUCUGACAACUUAUUGACCAUAUCCUAACAGCAUAAAUUCAUUAAACAUCAGCUUCCAGUCAUAUAGUGUCUCGGCCAUGCAGCCGUUGCUUUUCUUUUGCACAAAUUAAAUGAAAUUAAAUAUCUUGGUUACCAGGCAUCGAUGGCGGAAGAUGUAUAUGUAAGUACUGCAGAUGGUGCAUAUGUUGGAGUGAGGAAUCCCAGGGCGGCGUCUUUGCCCUCUUUCCGGAUAGUUAGAUGCCGUGCUUAUGACGCUUUCGUCAUCGUAGGACACCCCAUGCCUAAACUCCGUAUGACCCCUGGGACUAGUUCGUUGAGUUUGAUCCUUCCAGGCACGAUGGUGAUCCAUUCCCACGUGGGAAUCAAAGUUGUCAGUGUCAUGAACAUAAUGUUUAUGGUGAUGGUUGGUCCCUUGCAGGCCUCUGCUGAAAUCAAGGCUGGGAAGUUUG